AAGUCGUAACAAGGUUUCCGUAGGUGAACCUGCGGAAGGAUCAUUAUUGAAAUGCAAGAAUUACAUUCUUGAAACCCAACCUGUGUACAUGUACCUGUUGCUUCCGUGGAUGGCGGGAUGACAUUAGGCGUCAUUCCAAUCUUCUCAUCGGAGACAUCCACGGAAGGUUUACUUGAGCUCCGUAUUGUUUUGUCGUUUGUCGGAAUAGCUUGAUUGAAUAAAUAUUAAAACUUUCAACAACGGAUCUCUUGGUUCUC
rnacentral:misc_RNA from 1 species